GAGGUGAUGGACAUGUACGAGGAGUGGUUGGUGAAGCAGCGAAAGGUGUACAAUGGGUUGGGAGAGAAGGAGAAGAGGUUUCAAGUGUUCAAGGACAACUUGGGAUUCAUUCAAGACCACAACGCUCAGAACAACACAUACACUCUUGGCUUGAACAAGUUUGCUGAUAUCACCAACGACGAAUACCGUGCCAUGUAUUUGGGUACCAGAACUGAUCCCAAACGCAGGGUCAUGAAAACCCAGAAGACCGGCCACCGCUAUGCUUACAACUCCGGUGACCGCUUGCCGGUGCACGUCGAUUGGAGGUUGAAAGGUGCACUUGCUCCCAUCAAAGAUCAGGGUAGUUGUGGUAAGUUUCUUUUUUUUUUCCUAUCUUUUCGCCUUUUCGUUUGCUAAAGAUAACGUUUGUUUAGAACUGUUAUGAGUUCAACUGUAACAGCUUUUUUGGCUGUCUAAGGUUACGUAACAGUUAAGUAUUCGUUUAAAGUUAGGUAUAAUAUAACGCCUUUUCUAUCUAACUCAAUAAAGACCACUUGUCAUGAGAAUUAUAAGAAUAUUUUUUGGAAUAAUAAAUAAUAAAAGUAUACUUGAAUUUUUUAUAUUUUUCACCUUAUUAAUAACUAACUUGACUCUGUGGAUUUGUUUUUUAAAUUUGGCUAGAUUAUGAAAAAUCUAAACUGAAAAGGGAGGUGUAUUAUUAUAUUUUAAAAUCUAAACAUAAAAUAUAAAAAAUUACAAGUGGGGGUAUUUUUUUUAAAAUAUAAUAAAGUUAAACUAAUGUUACAUUUAAAUAUUUCAAUUAAAAAUGAAGGGAGCAUGGCCUAUUAAAAUUAGGUUUAUUAAUAUAUUUUGUUGUGUGUACAUGAAUGAUGCAGG
rnacentral:lncRNA from 1 species